rnacentral:snoRNA from 1 species
GCCAGUGAUGAUCCUUUUACUUGACUGAAAUGUAAAUCUCUGUAUUUGCAUUAUGUUGAUAUUCAUAAGAACUAGGACGGUCUGAGGC